rnacentral:lncRNA from 1 species
UAUGAAUUGAAGAACUCGUCCUCCUACCGCUUGAGCGCAAGGUUUUUUUAGAAUUCAAUCAUCCAAUUAUACUUUCCAUCUUCCGUGUCUUUCUCAUUAUGUAUUUUUUUCCCAAUCAACUCAAAUCCUAGAUUAAACGUACUCAACCCUAACCUAAUCCUUUUCAGAUUUGUAUUUGAUUACGAUUUGGAUCAAAUUUGUGUUAUCAGAUCCACAUUUUACGAAAUCAUCAUUGUUUCUGGAAAUGAUUUGAACUAGGUUUCAAUGCAUUAUCCCUAAAUUCAGUAGAUGAUUUGAACAGGUACAUGAUGCAUAUUUCUUUUUGGAAGAUAAAUACAGGAAGCGAAAGAGAGGGUAGAAACUAGAAACAAUGACUUAAAUUGGUUAAUGCUCAAAGUAAAUGCUCUCUUAGUCUCUAUUUCAUAUUACUGAAAUGAAAAUAAGAUUUCGUUCAUGUCUGGUCGAUCAUCUGGAUCUGGUUGAGUGCAGCGUAAAGCCAACUGAAGAAUCUGUGCUACAACAUCGUGUAUUGUGGAGAAAUCGGAAGCCAAAUCUGGAUCUACAAUUUCAAUCAGCCCAUUGAUUCCGUUUGAAAGUGAUUGUUCUAUCAAUUGUGGCAAAGUUAUGUCAUCUUCGAAGAAACACUGCUUCCAUCCUGGUGAUGAACUCCCAGAAUCCGAGCUGUCCCGAAGUCGCUAACAUGAGCAUUCCAUUUUUCAUCUAGAAGAAUAUUAGAAGGCUUUAAAUCACAGUGAACCAUGGUGAAGUCGUAUUCGGAAUGCAAAUAAACCAGUCCUCUUGAAACUGAAACAAGAACAUCAACUCUCUCAGAAAGAUCAAAUCUUGUUCGAUCAAUCCCAGUGUCAUGUAUAAUCUUAUCCAGAUUACCAUUUUCCAUGUAUUCAAGAACCAAAGCCUUUAAUUUCCCACUCUCCCAUGCAUAACCAACCACUUUCACUAGAUUUCUAUGCCUCAGUUUUGCUAAUGUGUUCAUUUCUUGGUAGAAACUCUUAUCAGAUUCUUCUGAAAACUCUAUAAAAUUCAGAGUUUUUACUGCUAUCAUCUUUCCGUCUGCUAGUUUACCCUUGUACACUGUGCUUAAACUGCUUGUUCCCAGAAUAUUACUUUCACUGAAUCCAUCAGUAGCACUUUCCAGUUCUUUUCUAUCAAAUCUUUUGAGAGGGAACGCUUGGGUGAAUUUUGGUUCACCAGAUUCAUUAACUUUCGGUUUUCGAACACGACAAUAACAUAAAACUCCUAACAUUAAGACAAGAAGCAAAGCUAGAGAUCCGGCUAUUGCGAAAAUAAAUACCACUUUUCUGGAUAUUUGAUGUGAAUGAUUUGAUUGGGUUGAGAAGGCACAUGACUUGGUGUCAUUGGUAACACACAGAGACGGAUUUCCAAGUAAUCCAACUACACUAGAGUUUUUGAAGAGUUUGGUAUCAGGAACACGUCCCUCGAGAUGAUUGAACGAGAGAUUGAGGUGUUUUAAUGCCACAUUGUUGCCAAAAUUUUCAGGAAUCGUGCCAUUGAAUUUGUUUUGUGAAAGAUCAACCGAAGUAAGAAGUGUCAGAUUCGCCAUGCUUUCUGGGAUCUCUCCUACCAACUGAUUUCUUGAGAGAUUUAUGUAGUAAAGAACGUCAAGAGUAGGGAAUAUUUUGUUAGAGAGGGCACCGGAAAGCUGAUUUCCUGACAAAUCAAGACUUUGCAGGUUUCUGCAGUUCUGAAUUGUUACAGGAAUACCUCCUGACAGAUUAUUGUUUGAGAUAUCAAUGGCUUGUACCAUCUCCAUCUUCCCAAACUCACUUGGGAUAGUUCCUGUCUAUCAAAACCAACCGGUUCGGUUUUGUCAAGCUGUCCCCAAUCGACCCGUUAAACCUGUUUCUGCUGAGAUCCAACCGAGAAAGCAUCCCGAGCCUUGAAACAGAAUUCAGAAUUGAACCUUCAAAGUUGUUGUUCAUCAUGUAGAGUUCAGUGAGCUGUUUAAGCUCAAAGAUUUUAUCAGGAAUCCGACCUUGUAGAUUAUUAUCACCGGUCGAAAGGCGUUGAAGGGAAGAAAUAUUUGAGAUUUCUACAGGGAUGGUGCCUGAAAAUUGGUUUUGCCCAAGAUCUAACACUAUCAAACUAGUUAAGUUUCCAAUUUCUUGUGGGAUUGGCCCGGAAAAAGAGUUACGCUGAAUCUUCAGCUUUCGGAGAUUAUUAAGAGACCCAAUGCUUGAAGGAAGUGGUCCUAUGAGAAAGUUUGUGCUCAAUGACAAUGUAGACAAAUUGACUAACCUGGAUAUGGAUGCAGGAAUUUCUCCCGUAAGCUUGUUCUUAUGAAGGGCCAAUUUCUCCAGAGAUUCCAGUGAGGAAAUCUCUGAAGAAACAUUCCCGCUUAGAUUAUUAUGUCCCAGUUGCAAACUAAUUAACGAUUUUAACUGAAACAAAGAUCUUGGGAUUGUGGAGUUCAGUUGGUUAUCGUAUAACCGCAAAAACUGUAAUCCCUGAAGAUUUCCAAUCUCACCAGGAAUGCUUCCAGUGAGCUUGUUGCUGUAUAGACUCAGAAGUUUGAGAUUUUUGCAACUACCAAUUUCAUAUGGUAUAUUUCCAGAAAGAGAAUUUUCAUUCAACUGAAGAAUUUGUAGUCUUGACAAAUUUCUGAUCUCACCAGGAAUGCUUCCAGUGAGCUUGUUAUCAUCAAGAUAAAGUUGUAGCAAAGAAGUGCAAUCACACAGGCUAUCAGGAAUGAUUCCAGUGAUGGAAUUUUUUCCCAAGUCUAGUGUCUGCAGAUUCCUGAGUUUUCCCAGUUCAGAUGGAAUUGGGCCAGAGAGGGAAUUGGUGUAAAGAUCAAGCAAUAAAAGCUUUGUGCAGUAUCCCAACUGGAAUGGAAUGUUACCAGUGAAUGAGUUAUAAGAUAAAUUAAGAAGCUGGAGGCUGGAAAGGUUUCCAAGAAAGGGAGAGAUUUGGCCUUUGAUGUGUGUUCCCUGAAUGGAAAUAGAAAUAACACGUUUGGUGAUAUUAUGGCAUUGGAUUCCAGUCCAGUUGCAAUGGUGGGUGGAAUCAGCAUUCCAAUCCAGGAGUGCACCAGUCGGGUCAUCAGUGAUUGCAUUCUUGAAGUGUUUUAAAGCAUUUGCUUCAUCUUCCAAGAUGGAAUCUGCUGAUAGAACACCAAGUACUAGAAAAGGUAGGAGUAUAAUGAUUUUAAACUUCAUUGAAGUGGUGAUGUGAUGAUUGUAUGAGUAGGAAGCUGGCCUUUAUAUUGCAGUAGUCAAUGGUCAACUGGAAUCAUUUUUUUAUUUUAAAAUUUAGUAUGUUACUGAAUAGAAACUUCCAAUAGUCGAGUGAGCUAGUAAAAAGAUUUUGAGUUCGCCGCCACUAGGAUGAAAAUGAUAUUAUAAGGGGAGGCAGGGUGGGGAAAAACUUUCCCGUGAUAAACAUGUUCCACGAGUGAUGGAAGGCAACAAACCACUGCCACCAUGCAACUUUAACGAGUGAUGGAAUUUAUACGUGAUAUAUU